AGGACUUUAAGCAUCCUUGGGUGCAAAGAUGAAGGUUUUGUUGACCCAGCCUCAUCCUAUAGUUUAUUUGUGCCUCCUGCGAUGGUAGUACUCAGUGGACCUAAAACCCCCGGACUAGCGGUGGAGCAUUACAACCACCAAAAUGAGGUUCCUGACCCACCGCAACAGCAUCUUCAUGACAUCUUUUCAAAUAACGAAGCAUUGCUCUCUCCCACGUGCUUAUUUCUUCAGCUUAUCAUGAGAGCCAACUAUAGUUUCCCCCUUGCCAUGAGAGGAACAAUGAUCACCCCCACUAUCGUCACUACCUCCAGCAGCAGUAGCCAUCUCUAUGUACCACAAUUUAUUUAGCUCACACAUAACAUAUAAAUGAAAAAUUUCUCCAUUGUAGUUUAUUCUUAAAAUGACUAAUUACAUAUCUCUAUUUCAUCUUAUUAUCUCUAUGUAC
rnacentral:lncRNA from 1 species